CAACAAAACACCUGACCUCAGGGCGUGUGAACCACAAAGUCUGGGUCCCUUACACGGAGCUCAGCAUUCCAGCUCAACUGGCUGACAGCAAGCCCCUAGGAUCUGCCUGUCUCUGCUUCCCACUGUUGGGGAUUCAGGUGCAUGCAGCUGUACCAGGCAUUGAAAUGGAUGCUGGGGAAUCUUAAUUCUUAUUUUCGUAUAGUCCACACAUUUGCUGUGAAGACUAUGAAACUCCACCUUUGCCUCAUGCUGGAUCAUAUCUUCCACAGUGUGGCCAAGGCUACAGUUUUGUCCGAGUGAAUAUCUCUGAAAAAUUAAGAGAACUUCUCAGCCUGCUGGCAAUAGCAUGGAGCUGUGCCUCUCCUUCCAUCUUCCCUGGCAUCUUCUCACGGAAAAGCUUUCAUUUUAAUACAUGUGCUUAUUAAAGGAGACAAGAAGAAGAUCACAGCAGAGCCAGCUUUUUAGACUACACAGCAUGAGGUAGAAGCCACUCACUGCACCUCAACUUCAUAUUAACGUGUCACAGAACUUUUUCUCCAGGGUCUAUUGUUAUACCUGAGUUGCCACAUUUCUAAUCUGAAGAUUUUUGAUGACGAUUGCCAGAAACAGAGGAAAACGAGUAGUGGAUGCAAGCAGUGUGACAAAGUUAUUGACUUUAUUUUCUGAAGGGCUGUCUGUGAGGAUUGCUCCCUGGGUGUGCGGUAGAUGAGGACCACUUCCAUGUUGGCUAUGUCUGAG
rnacentral:lncRNA from 1 species